UUAUUAUAAGUAUAUGUAUUAUGUAGGCUAAUAAUAAGUGUGCCCUCCCAUGCAUUUCAUAUGCCCCCCUUAAGACUGAGGUCUGGCGACGGGUCUGACCACCGACGAAGAGCCACGAUCAUAGAAAUCGUGAUGAUUGUUUCACGAUGGAAAUCUUUCGUCUGGGAAAGCCAAAAAUCAUGCAGUUAUGAUUCUAAAUGAUCACUUUCCAAGGAACUUUGUCUGGAAUUAGACGCGUACAAUCCACUUACUCUGCAUCCUCAAGAAAUAGCGAAACAUGCAUCAACUUUCCAUAUAACCACAUUACACCGGCUGCUAGGAUUUAAACCAUUAUAACAGCGCGGCUGCAUACAUGAGGCAAGCUAUUUUAAAACGAUAUACAUGUUUUUACACAGACUACGGACAUGCAGUUCUAUAAGUGCUUUAUUUUCAGUGCGUGUAUUACCAUCAGGGCUCUUUAUCGACUUCCAGGAACUCUAAUUGCAAACGGCUGCAAGGAUUUGAACAUGCAUAAUUGCUACAUGUACAAGAAAUAAGCUUUCGUUAGUAUUGGGCCGUGCGCACUUGCCGCGUGCACGCAGGUUGUCACGUUUCACGUGCACGGUCGUGUAUGGUGCGGACUUCCAUCGUUUCUGGAAUGCCAGUGUGGCAGAGGAUCUUCAUUAAACAAAUAAUUCAGAACUUCUUAAGUGCAUAUCAUGUAGGACUGUUAGCACAAAACUGUCACGUUUAAUCAUGCUAUUAUGGUUAGUCAAAGUUUAAGCUGUAAACUUUCAUCUAGAAGGCUAUUACUUUCGGAGUACGUCCAUCUAUCAACUGCACAACCCUACUGAUACCGCUCCUCAGUUUUUGGGGGGUCUUAAUUUACAUCGUAAACAGAGAAUUUUAUAAUCAUCUGUGUGUCAUGGCGAAGCAGGCAAGACAAGACAAUGGAUCCAAAUGCAAUGGUUUAUUUCUUAAAAACCCCAAAGCGCACAAAGCAGAACCAGAAUGAAGACCAGAAUACAGGACUAAAAAGUGAUGACAGCAAACUAUACUCGACAAAGGACAACUGAAACACAAGGACUGUAUAUAUUCAUGUGGGUAAACAAGAUAUCAAGACACACCUGGGAAACAAUCUAGAACAAGGACCAACGAACUACAAGAACUACAGACAUGGAUGACAUUACAGAACUUCAAAUAAAGAGUACAAGACUGGGGAAACACAAGACACGACAGUGACACAGUGCAAUCUUUAUCAUCAGUCAGAUUUGUUUGUAACCAUCUAAUCUUCUCCCUACUUUUAUAAUGACAAUAUAAAAGCAUGCCUACAUCAAUUGUCUCUCUUCAUCAGAAGCCGCGCUCCUAAUUUCACCGUGUGCAGGAAAACACUAUGACAUUCAAUUCAAUAAUGGCAAGCAAUAAUCAAGGAACCUCUAAGAAACACUGAUACUGAUGCCAGCAUUUACAACCCACCCUCCCUACCACCAUCACCAGGUCGGUUCCGUCCAUACUUGAGGGGAAUUAGAUUCUGGCCUGUCUUCAUCUUCAGACAGGAACCGCAAGAAUCCGUGACCCCCGGAUUUGAACUAUGGUCGGGGCCUACGCCAAAGAACUAUACUGUGUUA